AAGAGCCAAAGAGAAAGUGGCUCCUUUCAGAAAAUCAGUAAUAUCCAGCCUCCAGGACUUUCUAAAAACUGUGUAGGAUUUCUUGAUUGUGAUUGGCUAAAUUUGAUUUUAAGCCGUUGUAAACCUAUUGUAGCACUUCCCUGCAACCCUUCUGUGACGCUUUCUUGCUCUUUUUCCAGAGAAUCGACUGUAAUUAAAAAAGGAAAGUUGACAGUGACGGCCACCGCUUCCAGUACAAGUGGAAAUUGGGGCAUUUUUUUCAGCUACAUUUGCCAGAUGUGUGGAGGAGUUCAAUAUCAAAAAGGACUACCAGACAAGACAUGCAAACCCUGACAAACUACAUGUAAAUGGCUGUGAACAGUGCAAAAAUUAACCAACAUUUUUAGAUGUUUAUGUUUUUAUGUGAAGAAAUGUGUGAAAAGUUAUUAAAAUAGUUCAAAGCAUGUUGGUCCUCUGACAUUUUACCUCAUCAAAUCUGCUCUGUCAAAAGUUUGGACAUCCCCUCUCUAUGGGCACUCGGACUUCCCCCCACAGUCCAAAAACAUGCUUCAUGGGUGAGGUUGUUUGUCUCAGUGCUGCUCUGGUUGGGAUGGUGAACUAUCUAUUCGCUUACACGCAAAAACACAGAAAACGAUGGCAGGUAGUUAAAAUAAAAAAAAUAAAUACAAAAUUAUUUGUCACCAUGGCAAGCCCAUGUCAACACAGCACUAUUUAAUCUCAACAUAUCAUAAGGUAGUUGUGAGUAUCAGCUAAUUGUUCCUGACACGUUUCACCGUGUUGAACUGGAGGCCACAUAGUUGUGGUCGUCUACUGGUUACCCAUUGUUGAUGGCCAGGCACCUCACCAGGCAGGCUAUAUCAUGGUAUAAUUAGAAAAAGAAAGAUUAAUGGACUCUGGGGGCCCGUGGACUCUCAGUUUAUUUUCUUAAUUGCCUGAAUUUACUGGCUUGGAGUGUGAGAUCCAGCAGUCACUUAACACGGGUGAAAAAUGAGGCCGGAGAGCCUCGAAAUGACAGUGUGUAUUUAUGAAUUUAAAAACAAUUCGUGCAACAGUCAUAUAUUCCCCUAAGCCUCAAAGUUUAUACAGCACACUGGAACUCCAACCAAUAAUUCAAACGUUCUUUUUCCUGCAGUAAUAGCCUAUGAAAAUUGAUUUUCUGUCUUUGACAUGGAAUAAUCUUUAAAUGUGUUUUUCCAGCAUGUUCAGUUGAGAGCCAAAAUACAUUUUUGAGAAAAGGUCUCUGUAUAAUCAGGCUAAAUAAAUCAUUUGCAAUAAUAUAGUCAUAUUUAAUAUUCCUCAGACAUAAAUUUUGCAUAAUGUAUAGAUAAUCUAAACUACUCAAAGAGAAAAUUAGCUUUUUAAAUAAAAUUUUAUAGGUUAUGUAUGACCAGACUGUAAGUAUAGGAUUUACUUCUAUUUUUGUAAAUCUUUUCAACUUCCCGUAACAAACCAUUAAAAGAUUCAAGGACAUAUUUUUUUUGCCAUAAGGGAUACAAAUUCAUAGCUGUAUCACAUCCAGAACACAGGAUGUGACCAAUAGAGUGAAGCUAAUUCGAUUUCCAGACAGCUUAGUAAAACCACAGCAGCAUGCACCUGUGCUGGAACAAGAAAAAAAGGUCGGAAAGGGGUUCUCCCACAUGAUUAAGUCACUCUCAGGAAGAAAGAAUAGAGAGAGAAACAAAAAAAAAAAA